AAGUCGAGCGGAUGAGAAGAGCUUGCUCUUCGAUUCAGCGGCGGACGGGUGAGUAAUGCCUAGGAAUCUGCCUGGUAGUGGGGGACAACGUUUCGAAAGGAACGCUAAUACCGCAUACGUCCUACGGGAGAAAGCAGGGGACCUUCGGGCCUUGCGCUAUCAGAUGAGCCUAGGUCGGAUUAGCUAGUUGGUGAGGUAAUGGCUCACCAAGGCGACGAUCCGUAACUGGUCUGAGAGGAUGAUCAGUCACACUGGAACUGAGACACGGUCCAGACUCCUACGGGAGGCAGCAGUGGGGAAUAUUGGACAAUGGGCGAAAGCCUGAUCCAGCCAUGCCGCGUGUGUGAAGAAGGUCUUCGGAUUGUAAAGCACUUUAAGUUGGGAGGAAGGGCAUUAACCUAAUACGUUAGUGUUUUGACGUUACCGACAGAAUAAGCACCGGCUAACUCUGUGCCAGCAGCCGCGGUAAUACAGAGGGUGCAAGCGUUAAUCGGAAUUACUGGGCGUAAAGCGCGCGUAGGUGGUUUGUUAAGUUGAAUGUGAAAGCCCCGGGCUCAACCUGGGAACUGCAUCCAAAACUGGCAAGCUAGAGUACGGUAGAGGGUGGUGGAAUUUCCUGUGUAGCGGUGAAAUGCGUAGAUAUAGGAAGGAACACCAGUGGCGAAGG
rnacentral:rRNA from 1 species